GUAGGUGGCAAGCGUUGUCCGGAAUUAUUGGGCGUAAAGCGCGCGCAGGGCGGUUCUUUAAGUCUGGGUGUGAAAGCCCACGGGCUCAACCGUGGAGGGUCAUUGGAAACUGGGGAACUUGAGUACAGAAGAGGAAAGCGGAAUUCCACGUGUAGCGGUGAAAUGCGUAGAGAUGUGGAGGAACACCAGUGGCGAAGGCGGCUUUCUGGUCUGUAACUGACGCUGAGGCGCGAAAGCGUGGGGAGCAAACAGGAUUAGAUACCCUGGUAGUCCACGCCGUAAACGAUGAGUGCUAAGUGUUAGGGGGGUUUCCGCCCCUUAGUGCUGCAGCUAACGCAUUAAGCACUCCGCCUGGGGAGUACGGCCGCAAGGCUG
rnacentral:rRNA from 1 species